rnacentral:rRNA from 1 species
GACAGAGGUGCCAAGCGUUAGGCGGAAUCACUGGGCUUAAAGCGUGUGUAGGCGGACUUGUAAGUACCUUGUGAAAUCCCACGGCUCAACCGUGGAACUGCUUGGUAUACUGCUUGUCUUGAGCCAGCUAGGGGCUACCGGAACAAAUGGUGGAGCGGUGAAAUGCGUAGAUAUCAUUUGGAACGCCAAUGGUGAAAACAGGUAGCUGGGGCUGUGCUGACGCUGAGACACGAAAGCCAGGGGAGCGAACGGG